rnacentral:rRNA from 1 species
CCUGAAUACUGUUGCAUGGAAUAAUAGAAUAGGACCUUGGUUCUGUUCUGUUGGUCUUCGGAAUCGAGGUAAUGAUUAAGAGGGACGGACGGGGACAUUAGUACUGCGGCGAUAGAGGUGAAAUUCUUGGACCGCCGCAUGACUAACAAAAGCGAAAGCAUUUGUCAAGAACGUUUUCAUUAAUCAAGAACGAAAGUUAGAGGUUCGAAGGCGAUCAGAUACCGCCCUAGUUCUAACCAUAAACGAUGCCAACCAGCAAUCAGCCAUAGUUAAUUAGAGACUAGGCUGGCGGCUUCCGGGAAACCAAAGUUUUUCGGUUCCAGGGGAAGUAUGGUUGCAAAGCUG